rnacentral:rRNA from 1 species
AGAGUUUGAUCCUGGCUCAGGACGAACGCUGGCGGCGCGCCUAACACAUGCAAGUCGAACGAGAGAGAAGGAGCUUGCUUCUUCGAUCGAGUGGCGAACGGGUGAGUAACGCGUGAGGAACCUGCCUCAAAGAGGGGGACAACAGUUGGAAACGACUGCUAAUACCGCAUAAGCCCACGGGUCGGCAUCGACCUGAGGGAAAAGGAGCAAUCCGCUUUGAGAUGGCCUCGCGUCCGAUUAGCUAGUUGGUGAGGUAACGGCCCACCAAGGCGACGAUCGGUAGCCGGACUGAGAGGUUGAACGGCCACAUUGGGACUGAGACACGGCCCAGACUCCUACGGGAGGCAGCAGUGGGGAAUAUUGCACAAUGGGGGAAACCCUGAUGCAGCGACGCCGCGUGGAGGAAGAAGGUCUUCGGAUUGUAAACUCCUGUUGUUGAGGAAGAUAAUGACGGUACUCAACAAGGAAGUGACGGCUAACUACGUGCCAGCAGCCGCGGUAAAACGUAGGUCACAAGCGUUGUCCGGAAUUACUGGGUGUAAAGGGAGCGCAGGCGGGAAGACAAGUUGGAAGUGAAAUCUAUGGGCUCAACCCAUAAACUGCUUUCAAAACUGUUUUUCUUGAGUAGUGCAGAGGUAGGCGGAAUUCCCGGUGUAGCGGUGGAAUGCGUAGAUAUCGGGAGGAACACCAGUGGCGAAGGCGGCCUACUGGGCACCAACUGACGCUGAGGCUCGAAAGUGUGGGUAGCAAACAGGAUUAGAUACCCUGGUAGUCCACACCGUAAACGAUGAUUACUAGGUGUUGGAGGAUUGACCCCUUCAGUGCCGCAGUUAACACAAUAAGUAAUCCACCUGGGGAGUACGACCGCAAGGUUGAAACUCAAAGGAAUUGACGGGGGCCCGCACAAGCAGUGGAGUAUGUGGUUUAAUUCGACGCAACGCGAAGAACCUUACCAAGUCUUGACAUCCCUUGACGAACAUAGAAAUAUG